rnacentral:rRNA from 1 species
AAUGGGCGCAAGCCUGAUCCAGCCAUGCCGCGUGUGUGAUGAAGGCCCUAGGGUUGUAAAACACUUUCAGUGGGGAAGAUAAUGACGGUACCCACAGAAGAAGCUCCGGCUAACUCCGUGCCAGCAGCCGCGGUAAUACGGAGGGAGCUGGCGUUGUUCGGAAUUACUGGGCGUAAAGCGCACGUAGGCGGAUUUGUUAGUCAGAGGUGAAAUCCCGGGGCUCAACCUCGGAACUGCCUUUGAUACUGCAAGUCUAGAGACCGAGAGAGGUGAGUGGAAUUUCCAGUGUAGAGGUGAAAUUCGUAGAUAUUGGAAAGAACACCAGUGGCGAAGGCGGCUCACUGGCUCGGUACUGACGCUGAGGUGCGAAAGCGUGGGGAGCAAACAGGAUU